AUUGAACGCUGGCGGCAGGCCUAACACAUGCAAGUCGAGCGAGCGGCGGACGGGUGAGUAAUGUAUGGGGACUGCCCGAUGGAGGGGGAUAACUACUGGAAACGGUGGCUAAUACCGCAUACUAUCGGAUAACCCAUAUGGGAUUAGCUAGUAGGUGGGGUAAAGGCUCACCUAGGCGACGAUCUCUAGCUGGUCUGAGAGGAUGAUCAGCAAAACGGGGACGGAGAAACGGCCCCGACCCCUACGGAGGCAGCAGGGGGGAAUCUUGCACAAGGGGCGCAAGCCUGAUGGAGCCAUGCCGCGGGGAUGAAGAAGGCCUUAGGGUUGGAAAAUACUUUCAGCGGGGAGGCGUUACCCGCAGAAAAAGCACCGGCUAACUCCGGGCCAGCAGCCGCGGUAAUUC
rnacentral:rRNA from 1 species